GGGAAUGUGGCUCAGUGGUAGAGUGCUUGCCUAACAUGCAUGAAUCCCUGGGUUCCAUUCCUC
rnacentral:tRNA from 1 species